rnacentral:rRNA from 1 species
UACGUAGGUGGCAAGCGUUGUCCGGAUUUACUGGGCGUAAAGAGCGCGCAGGCGGUCGUUCAAGUCGCGUGUGAAAGCCCCCGGCUCAACUGGGGAGGGUCACGCGAUACUGUGCGGCUAGAGUGCGGAAGGGGCAACUGGAAUUCUCGGUGUAGCGGUGAAAUGCGUAGAUAUCGAGAGGAACACCUGCGGCGAAGGCGGGUUGCUGGGCCGACACUGACGCUGAUGCGCGAAAGCCAGGGGAGCGAACGGG